rnacentral:rRNA from 1 species
ACUCCUACGGGAGGCAGCAGUAGGGAAUUUUCCGCAAUGGACGAAAGUCUGACGGAGCAACGCCGCGUGAGUGAUGAAGGUUUUCGGAUCGUAAAACUCUGUUGUUAGGGAAGAACAAGUACCGGAGUAACUGCCGGUACCUUGACGGUACCUAACCAGAAAGCCACGGCUAACUACGUGCCAGCAGCCGCGGUAAUACGUAGGUGGCAAGCGUUGUCCGGAAUUAUUGGGCGUAAAGCGCGCGCAGGUGGUUUCUUAAGUCUGAUGUGAAAGCCCCGGCUCAACCGGGGAGGGUCAUUGGAAACUGGGAGACUUGAGUGCAGAAGAGGAAAGUGGAAUUCCAAGUGUAGCGGUGAAAUGCGUAGAGAUUUGGAGGAACACCAGUGGCGAAGGCGACUUCUGGUCUGUAACUGACACUGAGGCGCGAAAGCGUGGGGAGCGAACAGGAUUAGAUA